rnacentral:rRNA from 1 species
CGAUGACAGAAUACAGUGCAGGGACUAAUGUCUUGUGAUUGAAUGAUGGCCCACCCAUACCCUGACCAGAGUAUCAAUUGGAGGGCAAGUCUGGUGCCCGCAGCCGCGGCUAAUUCCAGCUCCGAUAGCGUAUAUUAAACUUGUUGCAGUUAAAAAGCUCGGAGUUGAAUUUUAACGUGUUCGAGUUUGCCAUUCGUUUGGUUUGUCGAGUUCGCUUUUGGGUUUUCCCUUUCUACUUUGAGAAAAUUAGAGUGUUCCAAGCUGACUUUUGUCUUGAAUACUUGAGCAUGGAAUAAUACAGUAUGACUUUGGUUCUAUUUUGUUGGUUAUUGAACCUAAUUAAUGGUUAAUACGAACGGUUGGGGGCAUUCGUAUUUAAA